UACGAAGGGGGCUAGCGUUGCUCGGAAUCACUGGGCGUAAAGGGUGCGUAGGCGGUCUUAUAAGUCAGUGCUGAAAUAUCCCGGCUUAACCGGGAGGGUGGCAUUGAUACUGUAGGACUUGAGUAAAGUUGAGGUUGGCGGAAUUGACGGUGUAGCGGUGGAAUGCUUAGAUAUCGUCAAGAACACCGAUAGUGUAGACAGCUAACUAAGCUUUAACUGACGCUGAGGCACGAAAGUGUGGGGAUCAAACAGG
rnacentral:rRNA from 1 species